ACUGCCAGAGGCAACUGCCCGAGGAGCUCGGCGCUCUCACACCUUGCUCCGGCUUAGUUGGACUUUCUUACCUCCCUGCCCAUUUCCUUUUGCCACGACAUGCACACACUGCUGGUGACACACAGAAACGACAGUGAGUGUGCAUAGCUGGAGGAUUUAAUUUCUGCCUCGAGCCUGCCUGCUUUGGACACCACAGCUUCAUCUCAAGGGCGUCCUGUGCUCCUCUGGCAUGGCUGGAAAUGUCUCCAUGACCUGGUGAUGUCCUCAGUGUGUCGCUGUGUGAAGGUGGAUGUCGCAUCCUGUGGCACUGCUGGAGCCUGUCCUGGACAGUCAAGGCCUUAUUUUCUGGCUGUGCCCCGCCGUGGGCAGAGCAGGAUUCUGGUUUUGUACAGCUGAGCUGCACUGGCUCAAACUUAGAUCGAGGGCUUCGUUUUGUUCUCAUGAAGCCUAAUUAGUGAUUAUUUUUUUAAUAGUCCUGAAUGUGGGCAAAUUGUUGAAAUUUCUACCUUGUGUACUUUGGAAGUGAACUCAGUUGAAAAGCUUGAGAAGUGCCAAAGGAUUGCUUGAAGGUAAAAACAAAACCUGUAACUGUGUGUAGUGACCUCCAGCUGGUUUGGGAUGGAUGGAAGGAGGCAGCCUGACCUCUUGGGAUAUUGUUUUGUGUAGAGUGAUGCACUUUUAAUUUCAACCGAAUACUAGUGAUUUAUUCUUUGCAUCUGUGAACCUCAAUCAAGGAAUUCCCCUCCUUUAGCCUGCCACGGUAAAGCUCCCCUGAGUUGGUCUGAGUUUAGCCUUUAGCAAUGGGUGUGUGACAUGCCAGCUGCUGAGGGGCUCUGCUGAAACCUGCUGGGGUUUGUUUUUUUCAGAAGCACAUUAUUUUGCAGCACUCUUCAGUGACAAGGGGCAGCUCCCUCCAGCCAGGUGGAAGGAAAACUGCCUUGUCCUGGAAACCUUUGCAACCAAAGAAGUGACUUCAUGGAUACACUCAGAAAGGUCAUUGAGUGUUGGCCUCACAUGUGCUGGUCCCGUUUGCCUGGUAUGCAGCUGGACUUGCUGGCUGCUCCCCAGCCUGGAGGGCUGUGAAUAUUUGCACAAGUGUAGCUUGGGACAGCAUUUGCAACCAGAGCCUGCCCUGCUCUUGAGGCUGCAGGGGUCUCCCACCAGAGGGCCAGGUCUGAAAUUCUGCCUUCUUCAGGUCUGUUCAGUUCAGCCUUCCGAGCACAAAGCGGGGUCGAGGCCAUUGCUGGAUUAAACCUUGGCUGUGUCUGUCCCUCUCUUGCUCUGCAGAACUCUCUGGGUGUUUGUCUUAACUGAGAGCCCCCACUUGCAGGAUGGGAUCCCUGCAUGCCCCGGGCCACCCAUCCCUAUCAAAAAGCCAUGGCUUGAGAUGCACAUUUUCAGGAAAAAAAUAGUGAGUAACCAUGAAAAUGCCUGAAAAUAAGGAUUUACCAGGCAGCCAAGAGCUGCUGGGGCUCAAGCCCCUGCUGUGCCUCCUGCAGGUCAGUGUCUCCCUGGGGCAGG